GCACAGACCAUCAAAGAGGCAACAUGUAAGCUGUCACACUGAGAAAGGAAGGUUGGAAGGAGGAAGGCAGCUUGAACAGCAUCUCCAGUGUACCCAGGCCUGCCCUGAAACCAUGGUAACAUGAUUAAGCUCUUCGGUGCCGCUCCCACGCAAGAGUUUGAGCUGCAGCGCCCCUGGAGGCAGUCCUAACAAGUACACCCGGAAGCCGCAGGGAACGCCCAUCUGCCUAAGACUCUGCCUACAGCAACUCGGCACAGAGGUCCUCUCGCUUACCCUCAUGUGUCAAACCUCUCAGGAGUUCAUCCCUAUUGCAGUCCCCCGGACUGACACUCACGUGGUCAAGGAUUCUGGGAAAUGUAGUUCUUGGCGACUCUCUGAGGAAGAGACUUCAGAAUGGGAACUACAAGUCCAUUUCCCUACUUGGUCACUGCCUUUGCAGGAGUUGGCACAGCAUUACCCUUAAGGAAACCUAGCCUUUUCUUGUCUCCCCUGCUUCAACUCCUUGAUUUUUUUUUAUAUUUUGUUUUAGCGGUGGUAACGUAAUUUUGUGGUUUUGAGGCAAGGGCUCCUACUGUAAUUCAGGCUGGCCUCGAACUCAACAAUGUAAAAAAGCUAUUCUCUCCUCCUCCAAGUCCGGGUGUUGCAGGGAACAAUCCUAGUUCAUCAUACUGCUGAAUACUGAACACCUAGGACACUGGCUUUCUCUCUUACUUGCUGAGGAUCAAAACCAGAGCCUUGCACUAAAACCACACCACUCUUCCCUCUUUAGUUAAUGUGUGUUGUUUAUGUGUGUGUGCACACGUGUCUGUGCAGGUGCUUGAGACUAUAGAGGGCAGAGGUCAACACUGGGUAUUUUCCUCCAUCCCCCAUGUAUUCGAAUAGAGGCUAGCCUUCAAGGCCCAGAGAUCUGCCUGCCUUUGCCACCUCAGUUUUGGAAUAAUAAGUGUGUGCCACGAGGCCUGGUGUUUUUUGUUUGUUUUAACCUGGAUCAGAGGUGUUAAACUCAGACCCUCAUGCUUCUGUGGCAAGCACUUUACUGACUGAGCUAUAUCUGUAAUCCACCUAGGCUAAUUUUUAAAAGAAUUAUUCUCAAACUGGCCUGGCUGUACACACACCGGUGUUCCAAGUUCUCAUGGGUCUGAGGCAGGAAAACUAUGAGCUCAGGGUCUCCUGAGCUACACAACCAAAUGCUUGUUCAAAAAAAAAAAAAAGAAGAAGAAUUCUAACUCAACACUCUCCUCUAAA